AUACGGAGGAUGCAAGCGUUAUCCGGAUUUAUUGGGUUUAAAGGGUGCGUAGGCUGUUCGGAAAGUCAGGGGUGAAAGCCCGGCGCCUAACGCCGGAACUGCCUUUGAUACUUCCGAGCUGGUAUACGGAUGCCGUGGGAGGAAUGAGUAGUGUAGCGGUGAAAUGCAUAGAUAUUACUCAGAACACCGAUUGCGAAGGCAUCUCACGAAUCCGUCAUUGACGCUGAGGCACGAAAGCGUGGGGAUCAAACAGGAUUAGAUACCCUGGUAGUCCACGCAGUAAACGAUGAUGACUAACCGUCGGCGAUACGCAGUCGGUGGCCAAGCGAAAACGAUAAGUCAUCCACCUGGGGAGUACGUUCGCAAGAAUGAAACUCAAAGGAAUUGACGGGG
rnacentral:rRNA from 1 species